rnacentral:misc_RNA from 1 species
UCUCUAUUGCACUACAUGAUGCCUAAAAAAAAACCCAGAUGUUAAAACCGCCAUAAUAGAUGCCAGAGAAGAAUAUAAUAGAAGCAUUCAAAAAGAGAUUUUAGCCAAUGUGAAGAUUUACCGAGGAUGAAAGAGAAUUUAAUCAAUCAGAGAUUAACGAAAUUAAUCUCAUAGGUAAUCCUAAUAUAUUAAUUCAACAACAAAUUUUGUUAAAAAAAAAAAGGAGUAAAAACGGCAGAAAAAUGAAACAUAUAUAUAGAAGAAGAAACCAGGUAAGCAAACCUCUGCAACAAAAAAAAUUAAUAAAUAAUAAAACCCAUAGUUUGUGAGGG